GACGAACGCUGGCGGCGUGCUUAACACAUGCAAGUCGAGCGGUAAGGCCCUUUCGGGGGUACACGAGCGGCGAACGGGUGAGUAACACGUGGGUGACCUGCCCUCAGCUCUGGGAUAAGCCUGGGAAACCGGGUCUAAUACCGGAUAUGACUCCAUGACGCAUGUUGUGGGGUGGAAAGCCUUGUGCGGCUGAGGAGUGGGCCCGCGGCCUAUCAGCUUGUUGGUGGGGUGAUGGCCUACCAAGGCGACGACGGGUAGCCGGCCUGAGAGGGCGACCGGCCACACUGGGACUGAGACACGGCCCAGACUCCUACGGGAGGCAGCAGUGGGGAAUCUUGCGCAAUGGGCGAAAGCCUGACGCAGCGACGCCGCGUGAGGGAUGACGGCCUGG
rnacentral:rRNA from 1 species